rnacentral:rRNA from 1 species
GAUGAACGCUAGCGGCAGGCUUAAUACAUGCAAGUCGAGGGGCAGCAUGAGUGUAGCAAUACAUUUGAUGGCGACCGGCAAACGGGUGCGGAACACGUACACAACCUUCCUAUAAGUGGGGAAUAGCCCAGAGAAAUUUGGAUUAAUACCCCGUAACAUAAUGAUGUGGCAUCACAUUAUUAUUAUAGCUUCGGCGCUUAUUGAUGGGUGUGCGGCUGAUUAGAUAGUUGGCGGGGUAACGGCCCACCAAGUCUACGAUCAGUAGCUGAUGUGAGAGCAUGAUCAGCCACACGGGCACUGAGACACGGGCCCGACUCCUACGGGAGGCAGCAGUAAGGAAUAUUGGUCAAUGGACGCAAGUCUGAACCAGCCAUGCCGCGUGAAGGAUUAAGGUCCUCUGGAUUGUAAACUUCUUUAUCUGGGACGAAAAAGGCGAUUCUUCGUCACUUGACGGUACCAGAUGAAUAAG